GGAGAGGUCGCAUAGUGGCCUAGUGCGGCGGUUUGCUAAACCGCUGAAGGAGCAAUCCUUCCGAGAGUUCGAAUCUCUCCCUCUCCGC
rnacentral:tRNA from 3 species